rnacentral:rRNA from 1 species
AUUGAACGCUGGCGGCAUGCCUUACACAUGCAAGUCGAACGGCAGCACGGGUGCUUGCUCCUGGUGGCGAGUGGCGAACGGGUGAGUAAUACAUCGGAACAUGUCCUGUAGUGGGGGAUAGCCCGGCGAAAGCCGGAUUAAUACCGCAUACGAUCUACGGAUGAAAGCGGGGGACCUUCGGGCCUCGCGCUAUAGGGUUGGCCGAUGGCUGAUUAGCUAGUUGGUGGGGUAAAGGCCUACCAAGGCGACGAUCAGUAGCUGGUCUGAGAGGCCGACCAGCCACACUGGGACUGAGACACGGCCCAGACUCCUACGGGAGGCAGCAGUGGGGAAUUUUGGACAAUGGGCGAAAGCCUGAUCCAGCAAUGCCGCGUGUGUGAAGAAGGCCUUCGGGUUGUAAAGCACUUUUGUCCGGAAAGAAAUCCUUGGCCCUAAUACGGUCGGGGGAUGACGGUACCGGAAGAAUAAGCACCGGCUACCUACGUG